rnacentral:rRNA from 1 species
AUUGAACGCUGGCGGCGGGCUUAACACAUGCAAGUCGAGCGAGCGGCGGACGGGUGAGUAAUGUCUGGGAAACUGCCUGAUGGAGGGGGAUAACUACUGGAAACGGUAGCUAAUACCGCAUACAAUCAGAUGUGCCCAGAGUGGAUUAGCUAGUAGGUGGGGUAAUGGCGCACCUAGGCGACGAUCCCUAGCUGGUCUGAGAGGAUGACGUGCCACACCGGCACGGGGACACGUUCCAGACUCCUACGGGAGGCAGAAGUGGGGAAUAUUGCACAAUGGGCGCAAGCCGGAUGCAGCCAUGCCGCGUGUGUGAAGAAGGCCUUCGGGUUGUAAAGCACUUUCAGCCAGGAGGCGUUACUCGAAGAAGAAGCACCGGCUAACUACGUGCCAGCAGCCGCGGUAAUAC